GACAGGAAAUCCUUGAGCGCGCUGUACAAAGAACUGGAGGAGGAACGAAACGCUUCAGCGGUCGCAGCAAACGAAGCGAUGGCCAUGAUCAACAGGCUGCAGGAGGAGAAGGCGGCGAUGCAGAUGGAAGCUCUGCAGUACCUGCGCAUGAUGGAGGAGCAAUCUGAAUACGACCAAGAAGCGAUCCAGAAGCUUAACGACCUGCUUACGGAGCGAGAGAAGGAAUUACUGGAUCUGGAGGCAGAGAUCGAAAGCUACCGAAAGCGGCUCGGGGAGGCGCUGGAGGAGAAGGUCUCAUGGGCGGAAUCGAGAGAACUUGCUUCGGCCACCAGCACCCCUCGUCCCAUCAGAUCGCUAGCCCGC
rnacentral:lncRNA from 1 species